GCCGGGCACAGUGGUGGGCGCCUGUAAUCCCAGCUACUUGGGAGGCUGAGGCAGGAGAAUCGCUUGAACCCGGGAGGUGGAGGUUGCAGUGAGCCAAGAUUGCACCACUGCACUCUAGCCUGGGUGACAGAGCAAGACUCUGUCUCAA
rnacentral:SRP_RNA from 1 species